rnacentral:tRNA from 1 species
AAGAUUUUAAGUUAAUUAAACUUACAUCCUUCAAAGUUGUCAAAAAAAGUAUAAACCUUUUAAAUCUUA